rnacentral:rRNA from 1 species
GACGAACGCUGGCGGCGUGCCUAAUACAUGCAAGUCGAGCGCAGGAAAUCGACGGAACCCUUCGGGGGGAAGUCGAUGGAAUGAGCGGCGGACGGGUGAGUAACACGUAAAGAACCUGCCCUCAGGUCUGGGAUAACCACGAGAAAUCGGGGCUAAUACCGGAUGGGUCAUCGGACGGCAUGGCCCGAGGAUGAAAGGCGCUUCGGCGUCGCCUGGGGAUUGCUUUGCGGUGCAUUAGCUAGUUGGUGGGGUAAUGGCCCACCAAGGCGACGAUGCAUAGCCGACCUGAGAGGGUGAUCGGCCACACUGGGACUGAGACACGGCCCAGACUCCUACGGGAGGCAGCAGUAGGGAAUCUUCCACAAUGGACGAAAGUCUGAUGGAGCAACGCCGCGUGAACGAUGAAGGCCUUCGGGUCGUAAAGUUCUGUUGUAAGGGAAGAACAAGUGCCGCAGGCAAUGGCGGCACCUUGACGGUACCUUGCGAGAAAGCCACGGCUAACUACGUGCCAGCCGCCGCGGUAAUAC